UGCUUUUGCUGGGAACAGAUCAGGAAUGCCCUUCAGAACUCCUGUAAAAAGUUCUUCAGAAUAAAGAGAAGUCUCUUCAGGAUCAGCUCUCAGCUGCUGAGGAGAAGGCUCGAACUCUCCCAAGGAUACCCAGUAACAUCCUGAACAUCAACCCAAAGAGCCUGAUGUUUGAAAUUGUCAAAGCUGAGUUGGAAGACAAAAUGCGAGGAAAAGAAAAGAACCAAAGGAAGCACAUUUUUGGUGGCUGAGCCCCAAGUGGAUUCUGGUUCUUUUGUGGCAGCUCACUGGUGUGCUGCUGGCCAUCCUUCUGGCUGCCACCCUAGUCACUCUCUUUGUCCUCUAUACCUGCUUCUCAGAUCACACAGUGACAGAGGCCUAUCACCAACCACCGUGGCAGUUUCUGGACUAUUACCUCUGGCCUUAUAUGAAGCUGCACAGUUCUAGCAUGUUACCCAAGUAAUCCCCGGGCUUUGCAGAAGCUAUUGACUAGUGCAAGUGUAUUCACAGCAAAGCCUUGUCACUCUACAAUCUCCAGGCAUUUGAAAUGACUAUCUCCCUCAGAUGCUUUGUGAUCUGCAAUGCCCAGAGCUCUAAUUUUACACUGUCCAUUCCGCAGUAGUGAAGUGCACAAGAAAUUCAAAUGUCAAACUCCUGGGGCUCUGGGGGUCACCUAUACAUUCAGACGUUUAGUGAAUUGCUGGAGUAGGAAGAACCUGUCAUAUUAGGCCAACACUGUGCUAGAUAAAAGCUAUAAUGGAAUGUUUAAUAAGAGAUAUCAUCUGUUCCUAUACAUGCCCCCAUAUUAUUCUACAAAUGUAUGCUGUAAGCUCGGCAGACAGUACUGAUGUUCAUUGAGAAAAGACAGACAUUAGCCAUGUUCCUCUCUGGUGUAACUCCACUGAUUUCAGGGGCUGCGUUCAGACCAUCAUAUUUUUUUUCCAAAUGAACUGGAAAUUGUGGGCCCAAUCCUCAGGUCUGGCCAAGCUAGGACCAAACCAGUUUUUUAAGCAGAUUCCCAUGUUGCCAUUUUUACUGUGCUCUGGGGUGCUCUGAGGUGUUUCUGGGCUCGUAUAUACUCACUUGCAGUGUAAAUGUAGUCAGUAUAAAUUAAACCCUCUUGGCAUAAUCCACAUGCCAUUAUUUAUCCAUUAAGAGCAGAAUAUCUAGAUAACAUAUCAUGGCAAGUGUUUGCACUGCUCUGUUCUGGCAGCAUGAACAAUGCUACAUCCUCCAUGAGCCAUUUGAAACAGGAACCACCUAUUUCAGAAAGCAAACACAACAGGAGCUAGGCCACAAUAUUAGGUUUCCAGGGGCAUUGCAACCUAGGGUGCAACAUAGCUAUGGAGGAGUGGGGCUAGCGGAAUGUAUUUGUAUUUCAAUGGUAGUAACUUUCUGGCUUUACUUGGUUGCUACUGUAUAUCCGAAUCCCUGUGUGCAAUGUGUAACCUCUUCCAAUGGUCAGAAAGGAAUGAAGAAAAGACGGGGUGAGCCCCAGGAAAGGAUGCUGUGCACAGCUUCACUGUAGAGCUACCUGUGAGAUUCACCCAGCACAAAUAUUUGCACCAGAAAUUGCUUCUGUAAUGCCUGAACUAGAGAGCAGACAACACCAGCUGCCCGGCAUGGCCUCAUUGCAGCAGCCAGUUGACACUCAGCAGCCAGAGACAAAACAGCAGCACACUCCCACCUCACAUUGUGGCCAAACUCAGAGAGGAUGGAGAAAGGGAAUGAAGAGGGCACAGUUUCAAUGAACAGGGCAGGAGCUGAUCAGCUCCCAGUCAGCAUUUAAAUACCCUGGGUUAGCUUCCUCAGUAGCUAUAGAAGUGAUUCUUACAGAGGUGCACAUGGGCACAGGGUACCCAGAACCCUGAUGGGAGUUACAAGGUGAGUCUCACUCACAGGAGCCACGCUAUAUCUGAGGGGUUAUGUGUCACUAGGCCAGGCUGGCAGACUACAGGCUUUUGUCAGAGAACAUGCAGGAACUUGUUAGCCAUUGGAAGUUGAUAUGGCCUGUCUGAGUGCCCUUGUAAGGGCGGUUAGUCAUUACAAUAUCCUCUGACAGGAGAGUCAGGAGAAAACUUCCUGGCUUAGUCCAAGCCCCACAUCCUGGGUGCUGUAGUUCACACCCCUCCAAUGGCAGUCUCCUCUGGGGUAUAAGGUGUCCUAUGGCAACAUGAGGAAGUUCUGUUCUAUCAUCACCAGACACCUCCACACAGCUGUAGUGGUCCAGGACCCAGGAGCAUGUCAUGUGUCUCGUCUUUUGAAGAGGUCUAGCUUCGUAAGGGACCUUUGCGACCAGGCAUUUGUGUAGUGGCUGAAUACCAGUUAGGGAUAGUAUCAUUGUCUGGGCCUUUGCCCAGAGGCAUAUGUAGGAGACAGUGCUACUCCUGGUUCAAAUCCUUCCUUGAAUGCAAUUCAUAGCAUUGCACACCAUACCUCACAAAUGUACCUCUCCUCCCCAGAGAAAGUAGCAGCUCUUUUUCCAGUACAUUGUAUAAAUCACAAGUGACAAUGCAUCUCUGAGUCCCAUUUCAGGUCCAAGGAGGAAAGGUUAGAUGUGCUGAAGAAAUUACAUCCACUCCUAAUUUCCAUGUGCCCACAGAUAAACUGUGCUGCCCCAAAUAGGUGAACCUAAGCUAUAAUUUUAUGCCCACUUCAAUCAGCAGCGCAAAGCAUCUGUCCUAGUCGCUGGUGCAAUUUUCCACUGGGCACAUAUGUUCCUCCAUUUUCUUAGCAGUGCAACUGUGCACCUUCAAAGUAGCGGUGCCUGCAUUUUUUCAUUGGAAAGUACUCAUAGUUGCACUGCAAAUGCACAUGUUUUUAUGCGGCAUCCUUCCUGGUGCUCAUAAUCCUACACAUUUGCAAAUGUAGCUCUUUAUGUUUCCUCCUCUUAUCUCAAUGCAAACAGAGUGCAAAUACCAGCACGGCCCGAAAGCAAGGUGUAAAAUACUGCUCUCAAAAUUCCACCUGGCAUGAAGCUACUACAUAGGCAGUCUGUAUUCUUAGGCACUAGGUCAUGGACUUCUCCGACCUUCCUGAUAAUUCUAGUGCCUGCUUUCAAAAGUAUCCUAAUUCAAAAUAAUUCAGCAUUCAUUUCCAGCAGACUGCAAGCUCUGUCUGGCUUUUUCUGAUCAAAGAAGGUGAGUUUUGAUUUAUUUACAAAUAUGUCAAAAGUAAAAUCAGAAAAUGAAUGGAAAUUGUAUCAUAAGAUUUGACAUAAGUCACAUGAUUUGUUUUAGUUUCAUAGAUAUAUGACUAUGCUAUAUAUUAAAUAUUAUAUAAUCUAGAGGUUUUCCAUCAGAC